rnacentral:rRNA from 1 species
GACGAACGCUGGCGGCGUGCUUAACACAUGCCAGUCGAACGGAAAGGCCCUGCUUUUGUGGGGUGCUCGAGUGGCGAACGGGUGAGUAACACGUGAGUAACCUGCCCUUGACUUUGGGAUAACUUCAGGAAACUGGGGCUAAUACCGGAUAGGAGCUCCUGCUGCAUGGUGGGGGUUGGAAAGUUUCGGCGGUUGGGGAUGGACUCGCGGCUUAUCAGCUUGUUGGUGGGGUAGUGGCUUACCAAGGCUUUGACGGGUAGCCGGCCUGUGAGGGUGACCGGCCACAUUGGGACUGAGGGACGGCCCAGACUCCUACGGGAGGCAGCAGUGGGAAGUAUUGCACAAUGGGCGGAAGCCUGAUGCAGCAGCGCCGCGUGCGGGAUGACGGCCUUCGGGUUGUAAACCGCUUUCGCCUGUGACGAAGCGUGAGUGACGGUAAUGGGUAAAGAAGCACCGGCUAACUACGUG